rnacentral:rRNA from 1 species
CUGGCUCAGGAUGAACGCUAGCUACAGGCUAACACAUGCAAGUCGAGGGGCAGCAUGGGAUUAGCUUGCUAAUCCUGAUGGCGACCGGCGCACGGGUGAGUAACGCGUAUCCAACCUUCCCCCUGCUCAGGGAUAGCCCGGUGAAAACCGGAUUAAGACCUGAUAGUUUCACUAGAUGGCAUCUGACGGUGAAUAAAGGUUUCGGCAAGGGAUGGGGAUGCGUCUGAUUAGCUUGUUGGCGGGUAACGGCCCACCAAGGCGACGAUCAGUAGGGGUUCUGAGAGGAAGGUCCCCCACAUUGGAACUGAGACACGGUCCAAACUCCUACGGGAGGCAGCAGUGAGGAAUAUUGGUCAAUGGGCGGAAGCCUGAACCAGCCAAGUAGCGUGCAGGAAGACGGCCCUAUGGGUUGUAAACUGCUUUUGUGCGGGAAUAAAGUCAGGGACGCGUCCCUGUUUGCAUGUACCGCAAGAAUAAGGACCGGCUAAUUCCGUGCCAGCCGCAGC